rnacentral:rRNA from 1 species
GCAAGUCGAGCGGUAACAGAGAGGUGCUUGCACCUCUGGCGUCGAGCGGCGGACGGGUGAGUAAUGCUUGGGAAUAUGCCUUUUGGUGGGGGACAACAGUUGGAAACGACUGCUAAUACCGCAUGAUGUCUACGGACCAAAGUGGGGGACCUUCGGGCCUCACGCCAAAAGAUUAGCCCAAGUGGGAUUAGCUAGUUGGUAAGGUAAUGGCUUACCAAGGCGACGAUCCCUAGCUGGUUUGAGAGGAUGAUC